CCAAUACACCUCCCAAAUUACAGAUUAGCCUCGAUUCAUCUGUCGAUCCUUCAAGUAUAUUCUUGUACAGCAAACCAACAUUAGUGGCGGUAAUGAUGGCAAUGGUGGUGGAGAGGGAGAAAAUUUUAGUGGUGGAAGAGGGGAGGAGUAAAAUGGGUUAGAAGUUAUGAGGUGGCAUGCCACAUGGCAUCCACCUCAUCAAAUGUUAGUGCCACGUAGUAUUAGAUGUCCACCUUAGUCAACUUUAACAGUGGAAGGGUAUAUUUGUGCUCAAAGUAUAACGGUAGGGAUAUAUUUGAACCUAAAGUAUAACGAGGGGUAUAUUUGACCAUUUUCCAAUAGUACAGGGGUAUAUUUAGCCCUUUUCCGUUUUACUUUUAUAAAAACAACCCCCAUUUAUUUUAGCCAGCAAACCAAAUUAAAUGACCCAACUACCGUAUAUGUCAAACUUACCCUCAUAAAAUCUCUUCCCUUCUACAGAGAACUCACCAUGUAUUGCUCUUUAAGCUUUCUUGCCAUAGUUUUUCAUCGGAAAAAUUGUGCAUCUUCAAGCAAAACCAACAAUAGCAACAACCUUCUUUGACGAGUUUGAGACAAGAUCUUCUUCGAGGCCCCGAGUCUUCUUGCUUGAGAUCGGAGGGUGAGCCACCAGUCAGCCUGCAGCCCUAGAUCUUAUCUAUUGUUGUCUAUUACUCUAUCAAUUAGACAGUAUUCCGUAUGGUCAGACGAUUGCUAUUCCUAGACUUGUUGGAUUAGUUGUUCUUGUACUAGUGACUUUACGUCUUUGGGGAGAUGUAUUUGACUUAGUAUCUCGCACUUUAUGAUUAUGUAUGGUUAAAGACU